UUUCCGUAGGUGAACCUGCGGAAGGAUCAUUAUUGUAUAACCGAGGUGCGAGGGCUGUCGCUGACCCGAAAGGUCGUGCACGCCCGAGUGCCCUCACACACAUCCAUCUCACCCCUAUGGGCACCACCGCGUGGGUCCCCCUUUGGCUUGUUCGGAGGGGGGCUUACGGCUGCACACAAACUUUGUAUGCAGUGUAGAAUGUAUUUUUUGUUUUUGCGAUCACGCAAUCAAUACAACUUUCAACAACGGAUCUCUUGGCUCUC
rnacentral:misc_RNA from 1 species